rnacentral:lncRNA from 1 species
AGACUAUCACCCUCGAGGUGGAGUCUUCUGACACCAUUGACAAUGUCAAGGCUAAGAUCCAGGACAAGGAGGGCAUCCCUCCUGACCAGCAGCGGCUUAUCUUCGCCGGCAAGCAGCUUGAGGACGGACGCACACUUGCUGACUACAACAUCCAGAAGGAGUCAACCCUCCACUUGGUGCUGCGCCUUAGGGGAGGCAUGCAGAUCUUUGUCAAGACCUUGACUGGCAAGACAAUCACCCUUGAGGUGGAGUCCUCAGACACCAUUGACAAUGUCAAGGCAAAGAUCCAGGACAAGGAGGGCAUCCCACCUGACCAGCAACGUCUCAUCUUUGCCGGCAAGCAGUUGGAGGAUGGGAGGACCCUUGCUGACUACAACAUCCAGAAGGAGAGCACCCUCCACUUGGUGCUGCGUCUUAGGGGUGGUAUGCAGAUCUUUGUGAAAACCCUUACUGGCAAGACCAUCACUCUUGAGGUGGAGUCUUCAGAUACCAUUGACAAUGUCAAGGCCAAGAUCCAGGACAAGGAGGGCAUCCCGCCGGACCAGCAGCGUCUUAUCUUUGCCGGCAAGCAGCUGGAGGAUGGACGCACCCUUGCGGAUUACAACAUUCAGAAGGAGAGCACCCUCCACCUGGUGCUGCGCCUCAGGGGAGGAAUGCAGAUCUUCGUGAAGACAUUGACUGGCAAGACCAUCACCUUGGAGGUUGAGAGCUCCGACACCAUUGAUAAUGUGAAGGCCAAGAUCCAGGACAAGGAGGGUAUCCCCCCGGACCAGCAGCGGCUGAUCUUCGCCGGCAAGCAGCUGGAGGAUGGUCGCACCUUGGCUGACUACAACAUCCAGAAGGAGAGCACCCUCCAUCUGGUGCUCCGCCUGAGGGGCGGUAUGCAGAUCUUUGUGAAGACCUUGACUGGCAAGACCAUAACCCUGGAGGUUGAGAGCUCUGACACCAUCGACAACGUGAAGGCUAAGAUCCAGGACAAGGAGGGGAUUCCCCCAGACCAGCAGCGUCUGAUCUUCGCCGGCAAGCAGCUGGAGGAUGGUCGCACCCUUGCAGACUACAAUAUCCAGAAGGAGAGCACCCUCCACCUGGUGCUCCGUCUUCGCGGUGGUUAUUAAGCCAUCAGUCGUUGAAGCUGCUGCUGUAUCUGGGUUAUCUAGUGUCUCUGCCAUUGCCCAUGGAUGGUGCUGUCUUUCAAAGUAUUUGUAUGGUUUGUGUCGUGAGUCGUGACUGAGCUGGUUUCAUGGACCAGUUGUGUUCUCGUUACCCAAAACUAUCGUGCGACCGCAUAUGGCUUAAUCAUGAAUAAAUGUUGUUUGAAUUUAAACUAUUCGCUGAAUAUUGUUGUUUUUUGUCAUGUCAGUUAAUGUUACUAAAUUGGUUGCCUUCUAAUUUUUGUUUACUGGUGUUUGUCGCACCUUAUCUUUUUACUGUAUGUUUACUUCAGGUUCUGGCAGUCUCAUUUUUUGUGACUAGUUAAAACUUACAGCUAAAAAAAUGCAGUUUUUCAUUUUCAUUUGAAGUUUGAUUAGAGCUAUUGAUACCGGACCAUCAGGUUAGGUUAGUUGUGCAUAGAAUCAUAAAUAUUAAUCAUGUUUUCUAUGAAUUAAGUCAAACUUGAAAGUCUGGCUGAAUAUAGUUUCUAUGAAUCAUAUUGAUAUACAUGUUUGAUUAUUUGUUUUGCUAUUAGCUAUUUACUUUGGUGAAUCUAUAUAGGCUUAUGCAGAACCUUUUUUUUUGUUCUAUAUAUCCAUAUCCUAGUACUCAGUAGCUCUAUGUUUUCUGGAGACUAGUGGCUUGCUUUUUCGUAUGUCUAAUUUUUUGCUUGACCAUUGCAAAACAAAAAUUACCUAGUGUAAUCUCUUUUUAUAAUAAUCUUGUAAUGCGUCUACCUAUAGGUCAAAGUAGGUUUUGUUUGGAACCCUUAGAGCUAACUGUUAGCUAGUUGAUAAAUUAUUAGCUGAGUUAAGCUAGCUAAUGAACUAGUUUUGAUAUUAGCUGAGGAUGUUUGAAACCUAAUAAUUAUUUUUUAUUAGCUAACUAUACUAAAUUUUAGUAGAGAGAUUCCAAACAGGAGUUAACAUGGGAUCAGAUUGGCUAUGCGUUUGCAAUCCCAUAGCAAUUUAUAACAUAGGGAGGUCACAAAACAUGUGUUUGGAUCAUGUGCAAGAAAAACAAGAAUAUAGGAAUGCAAGGUACAAAACGAAAGAAAACAUGAGAUUGGAUCUCAUGUUUAUUUUUCUUUAAAAAUAUUAUGAAGGAUGUCAUUUCAUACAAAUUUUGAAGGGACUGGUAGGAUCUAAUUCUUUGUUUCAAUAGGAAAACCUUUUAUAGGAACUGAAUCCUUUGUUUUCUUCCAUUUCAAAGGAGACCUGAGUUUGAUUACUAGUUGAUCGAUCAAGCUUUGUUUGAUCUGUUAAAUAUCAGUAAAUCACAAUGUGUCCGGAGAAAAUAAUUUCUUUACAUCCUUUAAUUCUUAUUGUACUGAUCCUAUGGAGAGCAAGUUCUGAAAAUGUCAAUUAAUAUUGCUUUGACUUUUGAGUUUUGUUAGGCUAGUGCUCAUAUUACCUUGCACUCUUGCAGGUUCGGGUUGUUUCCAGUUUCUUGUUGGAUGUUUACUCUAUAUUGACUAUAGCUAGAGUGUUCAUAUACACCAAUGUCGGAAUAAUUUUAAACUAGAAAACAGGUGCGGCGAUAUGGAGACGAUUAGUGGGAGUGAAUUAGACUAUGUUCAACGGUUCGCCCUUGGCUCCCCCUCCCCUACCACUGUAGCUGUUUUAGGGGUUACAGUGCGCCCCUAUUCUCUUCACCGGCUUCCUCCUCCUCCUCCUCUCCCCUCCCGAUUCCUUCUCUCUCCCGCUAAAUGGAUGGACACGCUACUGCGCCGGAUUUCUCCCCAGCCGGUUCCUUCGGCCACGCGACCGCGCGCUCGGAAAACUCCACGGACAGCGAAGGAGGCGAACCAAGGGCGACGUAUUCGCCGCCGGAGAAGGUAAGUGUCGAUCCGCCGUGUCCCGCGAUUCGUUUGUCUUGCUCCGAGCGGCGAACAGCAGUGGGGGUCGUCCUCGCGGAUCCGUCUUCAAGCUUUCGCGGAUCCGCCUUCAAGCUUCGCGGAUCCCACACGAAACCUCCGAGUUCUCUCGCCAAUUCGAUCCGCCUCACCGCCGCCGCCCGUCCGCCGGUCGGCCUUGACUGCUCCGUCGCACGUGGCGGUUCGCAGCACGGAAUCUACCUUGUGUUGACAGAUCCGGGGAAACCCUUGUUCCCGGUCGUUCCGGCUCGAAUCUUCUGCGGACUGGCAAUGUAAGCGUUCUCCAUUGGAGGGCGACGAUCUACGGGGCGGUUGUUGGCAGGGUUGCGGGAAUGGAGCACGUGUUCGGAGGGAAGUUUAAGCUUGGGAAGAAGAUCGGGAGCGGAUCUUUCGGCGAGCUCUAUCUCGGUUAGCGUCUCGCCGGGUUCUUCAUUGAUUCUGUCACGCGUCUCUGCAGAUUCCUACGCGUCGUUGUUUUUGGCUGCAGGCGUCAACAUACACAGCGGCGAGGAGGUGGCUAUCAAGUUGUUAUUAGAUAAUCUGAUACUGUUCGUGCACCAUUUUUCUCUGUCGUGGAGUUAUAUGCCUGGCAUUCGGCAUGAGUUUGUUCCAUAUGCAAACAUAUCAUGGUCAACCAUUGCUAGCAACGGUUUCGUGAAGAAUUUGUGUGUAGAUUAUGGGAUGACAGAAAAUGGAUGAUGUUCUGCAUGUAAUUGCUUUAAAAAAGACUGGCAUGGUCCCGAGCUAUAUUUUUACAUGAGUAAUAACAAGAUUUUCAAACCUUUUCUUGGUUGUCCAUGCGAAUUGACCUGCGCAUCCAGUUCUAAUUCCAAUCAUGGUUCUGUUACCUUUCAUUAGUGUGACUGUAUAACAGUUCCUUUUUUUAAAGAAAGUAACAAGGCAUAUUUUCAGAUCAUAUGAAGAAAGCACUUGCAGAAUGUUGAUAUCUUGUGGUCUAUGAUAACAGAAUUUAAAGUUUUACAUUAUAUCCUGUAUAUAUGUCAUGAUCAUGGAUUGACUGAAGCAAAAAAAGAAGUGCUGAGAAUGUGAGGUUAUAUUUUUCUAUUUGUAAUGGCUUUCUAGCAUGAACAUAUACUGGUUUUUGAACAUUUGCUUAAUUGUUUGAGAACAGUUACUUGUGUACUAAGUUACAGCCGCGCACUGUUUAUAGAGCAAAUAAAAAUAAAUCAAAUAUUGGAUGGUAGUUGAGUUAGUUGAUGAUGAAAGUAUAAAAAAAAUGGUGUGGUGGAGUAUAGAUGUUUGAUAUAGGGGAAACCGCUGUAGAGCGUGUAGAUAUAGGGGGAAAGAGAACGCUGACGUGUCACGUGAGUGGGAUAUAGGGGGAGAAAUUUAGGGGGAACCGUUGAACACAGUCUUAUAUGUAAGGGACUAUAUGGAGACAAUUAGUGGCCCUUUCAAAACAAAAUAUGUCCAGGAACAUCCUAACAAAACGAAAUUCUAGAAGAGCAAGCCUACUUAAACAAUCUCUACUCCUAUUAAGAACGUAAGGAGGGCGUCCACAGCCUCUCGUGCCCCCGCCCGUGAUGCCCGCCGCCUCCUCCCCCGUGCGACCCCUCUCGAUCCGCUGCACCCGCGAAUCCAUCCCAUACCUCCCAUCCCGGCCCCCCGCGGGUCCCGCGCCGCCAUCGCCUGCCUCCGAGGAUCCCGCGCGCGCCCAGCCGCCAUGCCGCUCCCGAUCCCUUGCACCCGCCAUCCCCUACCUCCCGCCCCUGCACCCCGCGGGUCCCGCGCGCGCCCGGUCGUGAAUCAGCCGCCGCGCCUCCUGCGGAACCCGCCUCCACCCGCGAAUCCAGCGCCGCGCCUGAGGAACAACCGCGGAGAAACCCCCGUGCGUCGUGCCCUCGCGAACCCCACCCCAGCCGCAAACGCCACAGACACCUGUACGCACGCGCGCGAUUCGCCCCAAUCUACAACAAGAAGGGCGGCGGGCUGGAGAAGGCGCCGGCGGCGACCACAAGCCUCUGUUCGCCACGGUGGCGGUGAGCUCCCCGCCGGAGCAGAAGCCGUUCGUGGCGGCGGGCGGGCUACCCCCGGCGUUCCCGGAGCUGGCGGCGUACUACGACCGGCCGUCGGACUCGAUGCCGCGGCUGCACGCGGACUACUCCAGCUGCUCGGAGCAGGUGCUGUCCCCGAAGCAGCUGGCGUGCGGCCGGGAGGUGCAGAGCCAGCCCAAGAUCAGCAAAUGGGAGCGGACCUUCGCCUCCGAUCCCGUGAACCCCGCGGGCUCCAUGCUCGACCCCGUCAGCGGCCACGCCGGCGGCGACCCGCUGCUGCAGGACAUCCUCAUGUACUGGGGCAAGCCGUUAUAGACGACGCCGCCCAUCAUGUCCUUAGGGGAGGUGAGGAUGGCGAAGCAUGGAUGCAAACACCCAUCCUCGGCUGCGGUUGGCUGGUUGGUUGGUCUGUCUUGGGCAGCGCAAUGCAAUGCAACCGAAGAAGCUCGCUGUCCCUGAAGAAGCUUGCCAUCGGGGCUUCGGUUUCCUUGGCCCAGGGGCGGAAGCCAGGUUGGGCUCGCUGGGACCGCAGCGCUGGCGGGCGGACUCUUGUAACGGGGAGGCGCAGGGCGAGGCGGACGGGGUCGUCUGGGUCGCGGGGGCAGCUGGGCCUAGACGGCUUUGCAAGUUGAUACAUUGUAGUUUGCAGUUGCUUAAACAGAGUAGAGCAGUACUAAAUCUUUAAUUUUCUCCCCUUUAUGUACAACCUUGCAUACAAUAUUUCUGGGAGCAAGAUGAGUCUGAUAUCAUCAGUCGCCAAACAAGGAUCAGUCUCCACUUUCAAGGCAGAAAGAAACAGAUGUUGCGAUAUGCUUUCACAUACCAUUGGCGCCUGUAAGUAGCUUGAACAUUACUUGUCAAAACUCCACUUCAGAAUCAUUGCUUAUUAUUCCCAUUCACAUGGUGCAAUCUUACAGAGGCUGUAAGUGUGUAACUCUUUCAGCUACUUCACUAAAUUCAUUAGCAUUAGAACUCAUUCAUUAGCAUAGAAACUCUAGGUAUAGUUUUAACAGUAUUUUGGUUGCAGAAUUGCACCAUGGCAUGAGGUUGGCUUGCAGAAUUUAACUGAAUUUUUUCUUGGCUGGCAUUUGCUUUAGAUGUUUCCGCGAUACGUUUUUUGCUUUGUUCCAACUCCCAUUCCAAUGCCAUAUCUAUGUAGCUCGUAAUAAAGAAAGAUGUUAUCUUUGGGGCUUUCUAUAGUUUUUGUCAGCUGUACACUUCUAAAAGUCCCAGUGAAGCUUCAUUGUCAUUUUAUCUUUAUCUCUAUACAGCAUGCACUGAAUGUACAAGGCAAAUUGAUAAUUUUCUGCAAGUAGAGGAAUACCAUCUUCGAAUGUGUAAUUCUUGGUUGCUCUCGGCCAGAUGGUCGAUUCCGGAGAUCAAGGACUGCUUGGAGGAGGCUGGAUUCAAGUGGGUCCACGUUUGGAUGAGGGAGAUGCCAAAUACCCAGUCAGGUGGAAACGCCAAGGAAUAUAACGCCAACCGGGACGUGAAGUAUGAAGAAUCACACCAUUUCAACCAAGGAGAUGCUUGGAACGCCUAUGUCGUUGGAGUAGCAAAUAUCUAGCCGGUAUGUGCUGAAUUCUGCUACGAAAAUGUGGUGGUGGCUCUUAGUUUCCCAGACCAAUUAAUGUUUUGUGGACGCUUCCGCUUUGCUCACGACUUCUGCAUCGCAUUGCUGCGGACUAAGUAUGCAGGGUGGCUAUUACCGGACCCAGAUAACUUUUACUCCAGAACACGGCCUCACUGAUGUUUCUGUUUUCAAAAUGAAAUGCUGGCAACGUGCCAUGCCUUUGAAUGUAUUUCCUACGUAUACAGUGUAUAGGAUAUGAUGGGUGCUUCGACGGAUACCGAUACUACCUUUCAUGAUUUUUGAUUUCUUACCAUGUACGCCCCUGCACCCGUUCUCUGCCCCCUGAUUUAUGUGUUCGAAUCUGAUUUUUGAUUUCUUAUCAUGUAAAUACACUUAUUGACCACUGGAGCUACAUGUUUGAAGAAUUUUAUUGCUCAAUCAAUUACUUUUCUUGACUAUGAAUCAUUUUAGUUUAUGAGAUGUCUUAAUGUUGCAGUUGAUCCAUUUUUUUUGCUUGCAGGUAUGUGUAGUGAUGAAAGGUUAGAAUUUUACUGCUCAAUCAAUUACUUUUUUCAUGCAAAUACCUUUAGCUGAGUACUACUUUGGCUCCUGAGCGUGAUGACAUAUAUUGGUCUAAUCUUUGGUUACCCUACAAGCAACUCUGGAUUCGGCACAUAGUCACACUUAUGUGUUCUAUUGUUUUCAUGGUUGUAUUCCUUAUACCAGUGACAUUUAUACAAGGUUUAACUCAGCUGUAAAAUCAAUCGGGGAUGUUUUGCUUGCAAUAUUGUUGCCUUUGUUUUCCCAAGCUUGCACGUGCAGGCUUGGCCCGUUUGCUACCUGAUGAAACAAACAAAGUAUUUAUACCCUGAAAUUUAUAACUUGUUGUCUUCAUAACCUGAAAUCAUGGUGUGCUAGAGUUGUUGGAGGCAAAGCAUAAAUAACUGAAUAUAAGGACAACUCAUGGACUGCCUUCAAUUUUUUUGAUAGCUAUUUAGGACCCAUUGCCGCAGCAUGUUUUUAGGCUUUAUCUUACAGAUUGAAGGUAAAUAGAAACAUAUUCCUAGAACUGUGGGUAUUCCUUAGAAUUUGUUUAGUAUCCACUAUAGCAGCAUGAUUUUAGGCUGUAAUAUAAUUAAACUCAGUUUCAAAAAGGAUCAAUCACAAGCACAUCAUCUAUUGUAGCAGCAUACUUUUAGAUUGUAAUAUAAUUAAAUUCAGAUUAAAAAAAGAUCAAUCACAUGGAUGUUGUCUCGGAAGAAAAAAAAUAAAGCCAUAGUAAACAGAAUUUACCAUCUAUUGUAGCAGCAUGCUUUUAGACUGUAAUAUAAUUAAAUUCAGAUUCAAAAAGGAUGCCCUCUCUUCAUAUAUAAUUAGAUUUCUCUGUGCUUAUCUUUAUUUGUUUAUGUACUAUAGGUUGUACAGGAACGUGGAAGAUUGCUUGCAGAUCUAGAAGAAGAUGAACAACCUAAAAAGAAGGUUAGAUUAGGGAGCCCAACGCUCAAUGGAUUUCAAUUUAUAAUGCUAGGCGGCCCAUGAAGCGGAGGUAAUUACAAUACAUGAAUCCUGCAAUCGAAUAAACAAUCUGUAACAAGUUAGCUAUGAAUUUUUGUUUCUUAUGGCUUCGUAAACUGCAGGGAUUGUACUGCCUACUUUUGAGCAGUUCUGUUGUGAAAUCUAAGCAAUUUUUUGUUGGCGAGCUGUGAUUUCAUUCAAACAUUAUGGUCAUUGUACCAAUGACAUGAUUUUUAGACCCAUUACGUACGAAGACUCUCACAAGCAGCCUCCUUUGAGCUCGCAGUUCAUAUGGGCGCAACAGCGGUUGGUGCAGUGGUGCCUGUGUGAGUGGUGGCUGUUGGGGCCACCAGUGCAAGGUAAGGCCUCACUAUUUUGGGGUGGGAUCUAGAUUCUAGACCUGGAAGUACUGAUGAUCAAUGCUUGCCCUCCCUGUGCAACUCCGUCCAGGAGGAACGGGUACAUCCGAAUAGACUACUAUGACGUUUAGAUAUGAUUAUUGAUUAGCAUAAUUAAAAAUAGCAUGUUAAAUGCAUCUUCAGGGUCAAAGGAAAAUACAAAUUACGACCAGCAAUAUUAGAAACCAACAUCAUCUUUUGUGUUGUGAGUUUAAAUUCUUGCUUUGAUGGUUUUCAUUUUCUGAACACUAAAUCCAAGUCGGCGGUUUCUGUUCUUAUCAAGGUAACACAUGGAAUCCUCUGUACCGGCUGCAUUUGUAAAUCAAAGCUAGGACAAAAGCGAAAAAGCUGGCUGGGCACUAACCAAACAAGCCUUUUUUAUUUUAGGUAUCACCAUUGGAUUUGUGUCGUUCUGAUUGUAGAAAUAACAUGGCUUUAGGAUUGGAAUAUUUACCCUGUAUUAUCAUUUAUGAAACAUAGUCUUAUGAUUGUUGCUAUUUUUGGUUCAUCGAACACACUUUACCACACCUGACCUGAGUUGGUCAAGUCUGGCUUUCCACUUUAGUAUUCCUUUGUUGACACACUUGUGGAGCAAUACGGUCUUAAUGCAAAUAGGCCUGUUGUUCAUAUUAUUACGCAAAUUGAUUACUGUUCUUUUCACUGAGGUCAGAAUAGUUCGAUUCACGUGGACACCAUAACUGCCAUUAGAGUUUACUGGAAGCUCUACUGAAAAAUUGAUUACUGCUCUUCUCAUACAAGCGCGGAACAAUGUGCUUUUGGGGCAAGGGUAACACAUACUUAGGUCUUAACAUGUUUGGCUUCCGAGCAAACUUUCUCUAGACCCCAAGGAAAUAUAAGAUCCGAUCAGAUAUGUGUCGAUGUUUAUCCCAGCGUACUCUCGUUGCAACGCACGGGCACACAAAGGUGUUAGGGUCACAUCCAUGCAAUUCUGUUUGUUCAGUACGACCAUUACUAACCCAUUUUAAGAUCAUACAUUUGGUAUAUGGGGUAUAAUAUAAAUGGUAAUUGUUGUCUUGACUAUUCAUUUUUGCAUAAAGUUAUUUUUUUCCUAAAGGUGUUAGGGUUAUUCAUUGGAGUUCUGCUGGAGAAGCAAAUUGUGGUAAUAUGCCCAAAUCUGGUAUGUUUUUUUGGAGCAUUGUAACAAUGUGAUUUAGUUCCAUGCCAUCCUUGUCCCCACUAAUCUGAGUGCUUCUUUCAAAUGCUUAAUUAUAGGGUGUCCUGUCUGCAAUUGUUUUGUUAAUUAUACUGAUGACAAGGUCGUUCCAGUGGCAAAGUCUAUUGCUUCUGUAAGUCCUAUAAGAUUUAAGUUUAUCUUAAAACAAACCAUCUUGGGAUGAUCUAAGUGACUUCAUAUAUAGAGAAUAAACAAUACCCAAAUUUGACUUGAUAAGGACACAAAUUCAUUUCCUCAAUUUCUAUCAUGUAUCCAUUUUAGAAAAAAUAUCACAUUUAUAACUCCUAAUGUUCACUUGUAGUUUCUUUAAGGAAGACGAUACUAAUAUGGAUGUUGAUGUUGUGGCUCCGAUUUCAAUCAAACAUGGUCUCCUUGAGAUUGAAAUAUAUUGCUACUUGCUUGUACUGAUUUUUCUUAUUGAUUAGAAGAAAUACGAUGAGGUACAUCGAAAACGCGGAUUUUCCUUAUGUUUGAUGUGUAAAAUAAUAUUUUGACUGCUUUUGUAUUAAGGCUAAAGCAUGUGCAAGUGUGAGCAUUGCUCGCCUGAAGAACUGUUGAUGUCUUGGCAUCACGUAUGUACUUUUAUUACUCUUAUGUGUACGAGCUUACUAACAGACUUGCUGAAAUCCAUGGGUGAAUCUAAUGUUUCAUUCUUGCCAACAGUUCACUCCCAGUACCGGUUUCUCUCAUUGUAAUCCAUACUACGUUGUCUAGCAAGGAAAGGUAACAAGUACUCACCAUUUACCUAUUCAUGUAUUCAAUCUGUUCAGAUAUUACGUGGACACAUUUGCCAAUAGUAGAUUGCAUCCUUUACCUUGAUGAAAGAUUCUGAACAAUUAGAUCAUCCCAAAGAGACUGGUGACACACGUAUUUGAGGAUAGACGGAAGGAGAGCUUGAAAAUAAUGACCAAAACAAGUAGUUUGAAACUUUGAAUAUCCACAAUUCUUAAUAAAUCUUAACAAAUAUCAGAGUAACAUGUUGAGACGACAAUUCCUUACUUACAAGAAGCCAACAAAGGGAAGCAGAUUGGUCAAAUUGUCUCCACUACUUAGAGGAAAGACUGAGAGAACUUAAUGAAGAGAAAUAAUAAUUGAAUAAGUACUAGCAGCUAGACAAACAUAGAAGAUCAACUGAGUAUACUAUAUUGGACCUUGAUAACUUAACCUUGGUUUGUGGUGGUAAGACUAUCCUUUUUCGUUAGUCAACCUGUUGUUCGUGUAAUUUUAACUUGGUUCCAUUUCUCUUCCUCUUCAAGAGAUGUUGAAGGGCAUGCAUGAAAUGAAUAAAUGAUGGCAUCCUGUGAUUUACCUGCUAUCAACGCUCUACCACACAUCUUGGCUAUUCAUCAGUCCUAUAAAUAGAACAAAAUAAGGUUCUGGAACCUUCGAUCUUAUGGCCAUCAAACUGAUAAUCCUUGUAUAUGCGCUUGUAGUUUUUCUAUCCUUUUGAUAUUCUCAACUUUGCUUGCAUUUCUAUGUAUCCUUUUGUUAUAUAUAAGCAUAGGAACUAAUCGAGUUUACUUUAUCCCUCCAAUUUCCUUUCCAAAUUGGGGUGUUGACCCUCUUAAAUUGUGUCUGUCGAUGUGUUAUUUGUCCACAAUUAAACGUGCUAACACGAAGAAAGUUUUGUGUCAGGUUCGGUAUAUUUAACCCUCCAAUUAUGAUCACUUGUGGAGAUAUACUCUGCUCUUGUUUAUGGAAGCUUUAUACUAUGUAUUUUUCUCUACAUAUAGGUAAGCUAUGUUAAAAACAGUUUUGCUUAUGUCAUCGUCAAGGACCACAUUCUUCUUGAGAUUGUACCUGCAUUUGAUUCUCUUUUGUAGCUUUGUACUACGGGUCACCAUAAGAAUUGGACUUUAGGUUAUGAUAUUCUGAUUGUGAACAUGACUUUAGAGUCCCACCAAAGCAUGUGUAAAUUGAUGCUUUAUAGUAGAGAUUGGUUGUUGACACAAUUUGUGAAAUUUAUGAGAUAUUGAAGUCGAUGAUAAUAUAUGUGUUGUUUGCUUUCAUGUAAUCAUUGUGCACAAACAUUUUAUCAAAUAAUUUAUAUGUCGUCGUAACGCACGGGCAUCGUACUAUAACAAUAUAAUACAUAUAUACAUAAGUUAUCGUGUUAUUAUAUGGUUCCGUUGCAACGCACGGGCACUCACCUAGUUCACAAUGAAGAGUACAAUAACAUGUCAGCUUAUUUCAAGAUGAGACCGUAUCCGGGUAGUGUAAAAUAGAAGACACGGAUUUGUAGAUAACAUUGUUUAAUAAUAUUUGCAAAAUUUUGAAAAUAGUAAAUAAGAUAGAGGAUAAGACGCUGGGGCAAAUUAUGAGUUAUGACGAGGUCCAAGUAAUGCAUAGAAACUACAACGAAAUAAAAUAGGGGAGGAUUCGUAUCCGUGGCACUCAUAGGACUUGAUUGGUUCAGUUUUUUGGGAACUAUUCUAUGAAUCUGGCUAUAGAGAGAAUCUGAUUGUGCAGUUGAUUUUAGUAUCGUGGAGAUUACAUACGGAGAAAGAUAAAAUAGUCUAUAGGAUUUAUAAUGUAGAAAGUGAUAGUUUCCUACCCGGUCGAUUCUGUGUUCACGUUAAUUUUGAACGAUUUUAACUAAAGUGAUUCUCAUAAAAACGGGCUGAAAAAUUGAACGUUUGAUAGUCUGCAGCAGCUUCUGGUGAUCAGAAGCAUAAAAAAUCUGAAACAAACAAGGUCAUAGUUUCUUCUUUUCUUACAAAAAGGAGUAAAUAGAUGUAUAUACUUGCUCUCUUUAGGAAAGCAAAAUGUAUGGGUUAGACGGUCUUCAACAACGUCUUCUAUAUCUAUCAUCUAUAUUUGUCUUUUACAGUCUCCUCUAAAAGAUUUUAUCUCCUAUAUCUCCUUUCUCUCCAACAGCAUUCUCCAAAUCAUGUCCUCUAUAGGCAAAUAUCUAUAUUAAAGACAUUUUUUAAAUUUUUAAUUUUUUGUACAUAUGUAUUUGUCAUACUCUCAAAUGUAUUAUACAUAUUUUAGUUUUGCUAAACCAGUUGUUUAAAGCAUUCAAAUAGAUAAAGAACCGUUUACAGAAACUCUAUAUAUAGAUGAUCCAGCAGCGUUCUCUAAAUUUAGGGUACAAUAACCUUUAGAGGUUCUUGUUGGAGCUAGUCUUAGAUGAUCUGCUUGUUUGGUUUAGAUGUAUAUUCUUAAAAAAACUAAUUAUCUAUAAGUUGCGAGAAAGUUAAUAUACUCUUGUACUUAUUUGGUUGAUUGAGAUUCUUACUUUUAAGAGCGAAUCUAUCUCAGAAAGUUGAAUCAAACAGUUCAGCGACGCCAGAAACGAACAAAGCAGAAGGGCAGAGACAAUACCCUACCAGCAUCAGCACCAACAGCACGAGGAAACUGAUUGUAAGCAUCCGAACAGCAGCGUUCGCUUCGUAUUAAAGUCAGCUAUUUAGACUACUGUAGCUGUAAUUUAUAGAGACAAAACACGUUAUAGAAACGGUAGACACCGACACAGUUUAAAAUCAAUCAAAUAGGCUUGUAGUUAGAUUUCAGAGCAAAUAGAUGAAUAAUAAACAAAUUAACAAGCGAGGGACUCGAUUGCCAAACGCCUGCUGUCGCAAUCAGCAGUUGAUUUGAUUAUGUGUCUGCUUCCACUAGUAGAGAGGGUGUCGAUCACAGUUUGCUCCAAAACCGAGGAAUUUGUGAGGCACAACUGCACAAAAGCAAAAGGCAGUGUUUCUCUGAUGCGUUGGCAAACCACUAGCUACCCUACCACCCACCAAUUAUGCAGCCCAUAAAGUUCGAAUAACGCAAAAUAAUUAGGCCUCCCAAAUAAAUAUAAUGGUGCCGUCCAAUUCAAAAAAAACAUCAUUGUGCUGCGUGAAAAAAAUCCAUUCACGUCCCAUCAAAAAACUCGUCCUAUUUUUAAACAAUGUUUCCUAAAUUUUAUCUUCGAAACAAAAAUACUUCUCGUCUUUUAUAGUGCAUUCUAAAUAAUUACAACUCUCUAUAUAGCCUCUUAAUCAAGGCGCGGUGCAUGAUGGCGCGCGUGGAUGGCCACCUCGACGCAGACGGCUUUAAAUUACGUGGGCCCCGCACUACCCCACUUCCCCACCACUCUUCAGUGGGGCCCACGGCGGGGAGCAAGGAGCCAAGGACCGGUGAAAAUGUUGCUUGCGUGUGCUCUCACGUUAUACGUUAACUAGUUAAUUGUCCACACAUUAAUAUAGUUUCUAUAUAUUAUAUAAUAGGCUUUAUUAUAAUAAAGAACAAAAAUGUGUAUACUCUAUCGGUUAGUUAGAUAUGAAUAUAGAGCUAACAAUCAAUAUCAAAACUCCUAUUUAUACAUAAUUUUAUUUUAUUUUGUAUUAAGGUAUUACGUGUCUCGAUCGAAUGGGGUUGGUAAUCUCUUACUGUUUUAAUUCACCUAGAUCCAGACGCAUUCGAACAAGCUCUAAGGUUUCUAAGGUUGUCCGCGACGCUCGCCGCACGGUCGUCCCCUCCUCUUGCAUGGCGGCUACAGAAGCGCCUCCACGCCCGCAGCGUGGCCUCCUGCGAGGCCCUCUAGCUGGCGCAAGUGAAUAGGAAACUGCCACAGGUAGUGUGAGGGCGUCUGCUCCGCUUUCACUGUUCAUGUGUAUGUUAGUUUCUUAAUAGGUGUUAAUGUGUAUGUUAGUUUUUUAAUAGGUGGAGAAAAAAUGGUUUUAGUUGUAGUGGGUAGGGGAAACCGCCAUGAGAGAUAAAAAGGUAGAGUGUGAAAUGUUAAUGAUGUGACAUAAAAAUGAUAUAUAGGAGAAAAAAAAUAGAGAAAACCGUUGCGAAUAGUUUAAGGGGAAUAUUGACGCGGUACGAUGGUUAAAAGUAGUGUUUUUUAUAUAUAGUACUAGUGCGUUACGCGCGCCCAUGCGCGCGUGGUUGGGCUUUUUUUUCAUGGUUUACUUAAAGCAAAUUGUAUAUAAGUAGUUACAGCAGUCAUUUCGUGUUACAUAAUUAUUUGGGAAUAAGCUCAGUUCUAAACAAACUAUAUUGGUACGUAUCACUUUUUUUCCUUUUUCCUAUUGCUACAUUUUUUGUAAUAUGGAGAAUGGUUGUUAUAAAUAGUUGUUUGAUGAGAAUUAAAGACCGUCUAUGUAAUUAGACUAAGCAUCCUUUGUGUCUUUUUAAUCAUGUUUUAAUAAAUUGUCAAAAACAUGAUGUAAUGUCCAUGUUUAUAUGGCGUAUUCCAAGAUCCAAUAUAGGAAACCAAAGAGUGUAGAGUUAUAAGAGAAAUAGGUCACAGUACGUACCAAGUUGCAAUAUAUUGUACUUCUACAUCCAGUAAUAUUUUGUCUAAAAAGUUUGCAUAAACAAGCAUAGUUUUGGGAAGGUUUCAACAACAGGGUUGUCUAUAUAUGUAGACAAAAGUCGUUGAAAUCCAAAAGUGACGAAGCUCUUCUUAUGCUUGCAGAAACCGAAACCUGUGUAUAGAUGAGAGUAGGUUAGUUGCGCUUAAAAACGUUUGCUAGAGAUAACAGGAGAAGUGUAUACGAAGCGUCUUAAAUGUUGUUAUACCUUCAUUUUUAUGAGGAUGGCAUGGCUAGCUUCAUUUUUGGGGACAUGUAUGUAGAAUCUGGUUUGCCUUUGUUGCUAGCCUGGAUGUGCUUUAUCCUGCACGUGCCACAUUGUAUUAGUAUAUGUAGAGCUGAGAGACAUGUCUUGUUUUCGGUUCACGGAUGAAUUUAUUCUGUUACGUACUUCUUUGGUGGCGAUGGCAAAUCAUUGUUCGUAAGCUCAUCAUCAUGUUUGUCAACAAUCUGGGAGUAAGAGAAUCUAUUGUGUUAGUUAAUGCUGGUGAAUCAAACCUGGAGAGCAUUUUAUUUAUAUUAAUAAAUUGUACACAUGCUUAUCUUAUUAGCAAUCCUGUUUACCAUCUAAACUGGAUGUCUUGACAAUACAUGGGUUUCUGUUUUUCUGAAUGUAUAGAAGCUAGACAUAAAAGUAUAUCGAAAAUACCUCUGCAUUGUGCGAUGCAACGGAAUACUCUAAAACGCGUCAAACCUGUCAAAUGCAUUAUAUUGGUUUAUAUAUCUGUAGGAUGGUUUAUAGAAGAUGUAUAUUAUAUUCAGUGAGGAGUUUUAUACCUUGUUUUCCUGUUUUGUAGAAGUUGAUAACAUAGCAAACGAUGUCGCGGGAGAAUCUUGUGUGGCUAUAGAUCCGAAUUCAUCAUCUUGUUUCAGUAGCUGUUGUUGAGGGUAGUUCAGCAUGAUAGAUGGUACCGAGGCUUGCCUCCCAUGACUUGUUAACAAAGAGAGAAUAGAGAAGACUUUGUUUGUCACUGAGAAUGCUGACAUGUUAAUAGUAUCUGUGAAGGUAAAUUUCAAAGAUACAAUGGCGGUCAGAUCUGAACUUGCAGGAUGUCACGGAUGCGACGAGCUUCACUAGGAGUCAUAGAUGAUGGGGCACAACAUGCAUUGCCUUGCUCUGCCAAUAUAAAUUUAUCAACAUAUUCUAAUCCAUGUUCGAAACCCUUUUCCCCACUUAGAUUCUGGUGAUGUGUCUAACGACAGUACCAAAAAUACUUACUUCUUUUCUUUGUAUUGUUUGGAUUAGAACGCUCCAUCUCAUAUUAGAAGUUAUAAACUUGCUUAUCACAAUGUUUCUAUCAAUUUCAGAUGUAUUUAGGUUAUGAACCUGCACUUUUCUAAAAAUACAUAAUUAUAUUGAGCAUAGGCUCUAUUGCAUAGAAAAAUAUGAUUGUGGCCCACAAAAUCAAACUUUAAUGUACCAAUCGUGCAUGAUGUAAUAGAGGUAAAAGACGUGGAUGACAGAUAAGCUACACUAUAUGAUACCUAACUUGUUGCUAAAACACAUAGGCACAUGCACAUUGCUAAGAAUCCUAGGAUCAAAUUACUUAAAAUGAUUGGAAAAUAAAACGAUGAAUGUUUUACAUAGUUAUAGGAAAACAAGAAAGAAUCAAAGUGUGUCAAACACGUAAGCUAAGGUAACAGAAUGAAACUGUAAAAACUCUACAACUACGCAUGAAUGAUCUGUAAAAGUUUGUGUCAAGUACCUCGUCGAUGAAGUCACUGAGGCUCAGAGGUAUUGUUUCACUUGCUCGAUCCCACCAAAAAGCAUGAAUUAGAAGAACCUAAAACAUGUGUAGCACACAAAUUCAGUGUGAAAAAUGCAAUUGCAUAAUCUUCACUCAUAGUGCAGUGGAGGAACAACAUGAAUUGAAAAAGAUUAAAAUUAGCAUUACUUACCUCGCUAAACAGAUUUGCAAGGGUUACACGUAAUGUUCAAUGUGUUUAGUUCCAAAUUGCUUCCUUUUUGGAACAACAAAGGUUCUAGCAAUGUAUUUAGAACAAAGAAUUAAGUUUUACGCACAUCGGUAGUAACACAUUAAUAAAACAUUAUAGGAAGGAUGAUCUAGGUUUGUAUAAAAGCAUACCUCCGUGUAUUAGCCUGCAUGCUGACUAUACUGUCCACUGGCUAUAGGAGCCGAUCUGAGAAAACUUAUACAUUUUUACAUGUAAAACACGAGGAAAAAUUGAUCUUGAGGAGGAACUGGCAAUGCAAAUUAUGUGCAGCACAACAUAGUGGGGUUGGAAAUCCAAAAGAAGGCAUAAUGAAAAUGUAGGAGACGUAUCAGAUAUCGGAUGGAAACGUGUUUGAGUAAAAUAUAAGAGUAACUCCAACAAUAGCCCUAAGCAAUAAAACAAAUUGAAAUAUAAGGCCUAAACAAGAAAGGUGAGCUCCAAUAGGAGCCUCAUUUUAAUAAAAUUCAUUUAAAUGUUUUGGGGCUCAAGCUAAAGAGUAUUAUAUUUGGGACUCACAAACGCGCGGCCCAAUAAUGUUCGCGGUAUUUCCAACCUCCACUAGAUAUUUCACGGAGACAACUUCCUCGCCGCCACCGAUCCAGACCGACGCGUCCACCCCAAUCUCAUCUCUGGGUCACCCCAUUCGUUUCUCGGUGACGAGCCACCGAGGAAGACGAUCGUCCCCUUUCCAUCUUGCUCGCCUUCUCUCCAUCAUCCUGCUUCCCCGUGGUUUGUCUCCCAGCUCCUCUCUUGAUUUGCUAGGCUCUUGUCUAUUAUCUCACAUCUCCCCUCCCCUUGAUCUGCUAGGUGCUUGAUGGAUUGAAGUCUGCCAUCCCCACGGUCGCAGGCGCUAAUGAGGGCUUGACGAUUUUCUGGAAGCAACCGGAAAAAAGCUAGGCGGGAAUGACGUGCAAAGUGGGAGAGAAACAGAGAGGACUACGUACAGGAACAUGAGGUAGUUGCAAACGUAAGCCAUUUUAGGGUCCAUGAUUGGAAUUGACAAUUGAAUUUGAACCAUAAAACAAAUAGAAUAGGUAGUAAAUUAAAUUAUAGAGCCUAACUAUAAGGCUUAUGGUUGGAGUUGCUCUAAGGACGACAGAAAAGGGACAUUUAGAGAGUUAAACACAAGCUAGAAGUAAUAAGAUUAUCCUAAUUAAGUUUCACACAUAAACACACUAUCUAAUUUAUCAAUGUUGUAUGUUUUGUUUUACCCAAAACUGUGUGUAAUAAAAACAGAUUGGGAUUGAUACAACAUCAUGAAUUGUAAGACAAACAUUAUAUACGGUUACACAUAAACACACUGUCUAAUUCAUCAAUGAUGUAUGUUACAUAGAAUGAGAUUGGAAAACCAAAACAACGAAUAAGCAAACUGCAGGAAAAGUAUGCAGUGGAAACCAACCCAGAUUCGGACGAUAGGAAAGUAUCAUGUGAAUGAUUUGCCAGGAAAAGGAGAGGGGUAAAAAGGGGCGAAGAUUUAGAAGAUCUAAAGCACAAGAACCAGAGAUUAGAUUGAACAAUAGGGAACAUGGAGCAUCCUUUUUUUCUUCAGGGAAAAACUGAAAAUCCAAACCAUGUUGAGCAAAACCGAGUGGGAUUGGAAACCAAAAAACCCGAGAUAAAGAAACUCGAGAAAAAGCAUGAAAUCGAAACCAACUUCAGUAAAACAAAAGGAGGACAGAAAAGAAAGUCGGAAGGUAUAAAGAAUACAUUAACAUUCAGUGAAACAGCAUGCUGUCUUCUUCUUUUUUUAUGCACAACAGAGCAUACAUAUAUACCUUCCCAGGCUGAGGACUUGGCGGAGGAGAGCCGCGGAGAGGAUGGCGGUGCAGACGGUCUGGACGGGCCCGAAGACGGAGACGAACAGCGGGCCCUUCCUGCCCAGGCACCACGCUUGGAACGCCAUGCACGCGCCAACCGCGGCCCCGCCGAGGACGACGAUCCCCGCGACAAGCGUGGCGUCGAUCCUGGGCGACCCCAUGCCGAGGAACCUCCCUUCCAGGACGAGCCGCAGGACGGCGGUGAGAGAGGCACCCGUCGCGGAGGUGGCGCAGCACAUGGUGAGCAGCGCGGGGAAGGCGGCGAGCGUGGCGGCCUGCAGGACGGUGACGAGCGCGAAGACGGUGACGCCGGCGACGAGGCAGCAGCAGCCGAGGAUCCAGUCGUAGGAGGAAGCCGGACCAAACCGGGCAAUGCAACCUGCAGAUGCACUAGACGGAGGAAACGAGGAGGAGGAGAAAACAGAGCAAGAGCAGGCGGAGAGAAGAUAGAGCAAAACACGAGUGAGGCACAGCGUAAGCACUCGGUAGAAGUCUCCAGAGGCGAGGUGCGCACAGGAGAACAGAUGAGUAAAGUCAGCCAAGGAUCCACGAUCCAACGGCUACGAAUUUUUGGAGUGACGUGGAUAGGCUCAAAGGCGCCAUUUCCAUCCGGCUUUAUAGUAUUUUAAAAAAAUUCAUUUUCCUCCCUCUAGUGUGUGCGGAGGCGUGAGCCCGUUUAACGGCGUUGAGAAGUCUAACGGACACCAACCACAACCAGGAACCAGCGCCGGCCGCGCCGCCGAGUGAAGCAGACUGCAUACGGCACGGCGCGGCAUCUCUCUGGCUGCCUCUCGAGAGUUCCGCCCCCACCUUCCCGCGGUAGCGUGGUGGUUUCGCUUUCCGCUGUCGGCAUCCGGAAGUUGCGUGGCAGAGUGGACGGAGACGAGGCCGGGUCCUCCAGCUCCUCUCAAACGUCACGGCACCGGCAUCCGGCAGCCAGCGCGGUCCUUCCCAACCACUCGUUCCCAACCCAUCCCCCUUCCUCGCCCGCCGUCAUAAAUAGCCAGCCCCAUCCCCAGCUUCUUUCCCCAACCUCAUCUUCUCUCCUUUUGCUCGGAACGCACACACCGCCCGGUCUCCGAUCUCCGAUCCCCGAUCCCCUCGUCGAUCCAAGGUACGGCGACCAUCCUCCCCCCCCCCCCCCCCCCUCUCUCUCUGCCUUCUCUAGAUCGGCGAUCCGAUCCAUGGUUACUUGGUUAGGGCCUGCUAACUAUGUUCAUGUUUGCGUUAGAUCCGUGCAUGGACGCGAUCUGUACACACCAGACGCGUUCUGAUUGCUAGCUAACUCGCCAGUACCUGGGAAUCCUGGGAUGGCUGUAGCCGGCCCCGCACGCAGACGGGACCGAUUUCAUGAUUCUCUAUUUUUUUCUUUGUUUCGUUGCCUAGGGUUUCGUUCGAUCGAUCCGCGUUAUUCUUUAUUUCCAUAUAUUCUGGUACGAUGUUGAUACGGUUCGACCGUGCUGCUUACGUUCUGUGCGCUUGUUUGCCGGGUCAUUUUUACCUUGCCUUUUUUGUAUGGUUUGGUUGUGGCGAUGUGGUCUGGUCGGGCUGUCGUUCUAGAUCGGAGUAGAGUGCUGUUUCAAACUGUCUAGCGGAUCUAUUAGAUUUGGAUCUGCAUGUGUGACAUAUAUCUUCGUAGUUAAGAUGAUGCAUCUGUAUGUGUGACAUGCGGAUCUAUUAGAUUUGGAUCUGUAUGUGUGACAUAUAUCUUCGUAGUUGAGAUGAUGCAUCUGUAUGUGUGACAUAUAUCUUCGUAGUUAAGAUUAUGCAUGGAAAUAUCAAUCCUUUAGAUAAGGACGGGUAUACUUGUUGCUGUGGGUUUUACUGGUACUUCGAUAGAUGCAUAUACAUGAUCUAACAUGCUUAGAUACAUGAAGUAACAUGCUGCUACGGUUUAAUAAUUCUUGAGUUGAUUUUUACUGGUACUUAGAUAGAUGUAUAUACAUGCUUAGAUACAUGAAGUAACAUGCUCCUACAGUUCCUUUAAUCAUUAUUGAGUACCUAUAUAUUCUAAUAAAUCAGUAUGUUUUAAAUUAUUUUGAUUUUACUGGUACUUAGAUAGAUGUAUAUAUACAUGCUCAAACAUGCUUAGAUACAUGAAGUAACAUGCUGCUACGGUUUAGUCAUUAUUGAGUGCCUAUAUAUUCUAAUAAAUCAGUAUGUUUUAAAUUAUUUUGAUUUUACUGGUACUUAGAUAGAUGUAUAUAUACAUGCUCAAACAUGCUUAGAUACAUGAAGUAAUAUGCUACUACGGUUUAAUUGUUCUUGAGUACCUAUAUAUUCUAAUAAAUCAGUAUGUUUUAAAUUAUUUCGAUUUUACUGGUACUUAGAUAGAUGUAUAUAUACAUGCUUAGAUACAUGAAGUAACAUGCUACUACGGUUUAAUUGUUCUUGAAUACCUAUAUAUUCUAAUAAAUCAGUAUGUUUUAAAUUAUUUCGAUUUUACUGGUACUUAGAUAGAUGUAUAUAUACAUGCUCGAACAUGCUUAGAUACAUGAAGUAACAUGCUACAUAUAUAUUAUAAUAAAUCAGUAUGUCUUAAAUUAUUUUGAUUUUACUGGUACUUAGAUAGAUGUAUAUACAUGCUCAAACAUGCUUAGAUACAUGAAGUAACAUGCUACUACGGUUUAAUCAUUAUUGAGUACCUAUAUAUUCUAAUAAAUCAGUAUGUUUUCAAUUGUUUUGAUUUUACUGGUACUUAGAUAUAUGUAUAUAUACAUGCUCGAACAUGCUUAGAUACGUGAAGUAACAUGCUACUAUGGUUAAUUGUUCUUGAGUACCUAUAUAUUCUAAUAAAUCAGUAUGUUUUAAAUUAUUUCGAUUUUACUGGUACUUAGAUAGAUGUAUAUAUACAUGCUCGAACAUGCUUAGAUACAUGAAGUAACAUGCUACUACGGUUUAAUCGUUCUUGAGUACCUAUAUAUUCUAAUAAAUCAGUAUGUCUUAAAUUAUCUUGAUUUUACUGGUACUUAGAUAGAUGUAUAUACAUGCUUAGAUACAUGAAGUAACAUGCUACUAUGAUUUAAUCGUUCUUGAGUACCUAUAUAUUCUAAUAAAUCAGUAUGUUUUUAAUUAUUUUGAUUUUACUGGUACUUAGAUAGAUGUAUAUAUACAUGCUCGAACAUGCUUAGAUACAUGAAGUAACAUGCUACUACGGUUUAAUCAUUCUUGAGUACCUAUAUAUUCUAAUAAAUCAGUAUGUUUUUAAUUAUUUUGAUAUUACUGGUACUUAACAUGUUUAGAUACAUCAUAUAGCAUGCACAUGCUGCUACUGUUUAAUCAUUCGUGAAUACCUAUAUAUUC